GAUGAACGCUGGCGGCGUGCCUAAUACAUGCAAGUCGAGCGAACAGACGAGGAGCUUGCUCCUCUGACGUUAGCGGCGGACGGGUGAGUAACACGUGGAUAACCUACCUAUAAGACUGGGAUAACUUCGGGAAACCGGAGCUAAUACCGGAUAAUAUAUUGAACCGCAUGGUUCAAUAGUGAAAGACGGUUUUGCUGUCACUUAUAGAUUGAUCCGCGCCGCAUUAGCUAGUUGGUAAGGUAACGGCUUACCAAGGCAACGAUGCGUAGCCGACCUGAGAGGGUGAUCGGCCACACGGGAACUGAGACACGGCCCAGACUCCUACGGGAGGCAGCAGUAGGGAAUCUUCCGCAAUGGGCGAAAGCGUGACGGAGCAACGCCGCGUGAGUGAUGAAGGUCUUCGGAUCGUAAAACUCUGUUAUUAGGGAGGAACAAAUGUGUAAGUAACUAUGCACGUCUUGACGGUACCUAAUCAGAAAGCCACGGCUAACUACGUG
rnacentral:rRNA from 1 species